GCAUUUGUUUUUACUUAAACUUGUAUGUUGACUUCUGUUAGCUAUAAUAUUGUUAUAAUGCCUUCAUUAUUAAAGCAGACGUGGUUGUAACACUUUGCUGCACCCCACAGAUGAACCAGUUCUGCCUGUGCCAGAUACUAACCUUACUCCCACACACACACAGAGAGAGAUGGCUGACACAAACCAUUUAUGAGCUCUGACCUCAGGGGGGCGCUCUGACCUCAGGCGCCAGUUGCUGGUGUCUGCUUCAACAUCUUGUCAAUACAAGAGACAACCCAGACCGGCAUGGCACUCAACGAGCAUGCGCAUGCAUACACACACACACACACACACACACACACACACACACACACACACACAAACCCCUGUUUCAGGCGGGAGUUCCAAGGACAAAGAACACUACUGAGAACCAAUGGAACAUUGUUAUUAGCCUGAAGGGGACCGCCCUCCACUCACAGCGACCAUUCAGGAGAGCAGAACUACUAGAAUCUACCUACGUCAUUUCACUGUAUAAAAUGUAUUGCACAAUAUGAGUCGGGGCUCCUCCUGCUAGCUCCCUCUGAGCUAAAUGGACGAGCCCGUGCACGUGUUGUCAGAUAUCUUUGCAACUUAUUAAACUGCCUUAAAUAUCAUACCUUAUCCACCUGGUCUAGCGUCUCAACUUGGUCUCUCUCUUCUAGUAAAUAUCAUCAAUCUUUAACAUGGUAGCAGAGGAUGGUUUUCUAAGAACCUGAAUUCGGUCCAUAGGAGGAUGAUGAGAAGAGAGAGAGAAGUUGGAGACAAAUCCAGAGAGACGGGUGACCUGAAAAGGAGCUGCCGGGGAUUCAUCUCACCUCAGGAAUCUGAUCUAAAAGUCGACUAAACAAAAGGUAAGCAGAGCCGGUUAAAUCAAAAAUCUGCAUAUUGUAUUAUAGAGAUAACCAAAUUUAAGAUCAGUGACUGAGUGUGAGUAUGAAUUUCCGUUAAAUUUAUUAUAUAAGUUGCAUACUAAGGCAUUGAUGCAAAGAUAUUUGUCAUAUAGUCUAAGAAUGAAAAGAGAUGAAAUGAGUAAUGAGAAAUGAGAAAUGAUUGACCACCGUAGAAGCGGGCCUAGUUGCUAGAACUAGAAGGAUCCUGCACGGUUGAAGUGUCUGUUCAAGUUGUAUCAGUGUCCGGGACUAGAAGUUAGUGUAAGUUGAAGAUGUAAGUUGUUGGCAACCUCGUACACGCCUCGGACACCCUUCUAGGUAGCAUCGGAAUUAAACUGAGCUUGAUCAUUCGGGAGCUCGUGCUGAAUUGGCAAAUCCGGGUAAGGUUAAUAACUAUUUUUUAACUGGUCGCCGCUCGGUACCUAAGUCCAAGCCUGAGCUUUAAUGUGGUGAGGACUUAAUCCUCUUGGCCAUGUUUUAAAUUCUUGUGACAGGUAUAACUAUGUAAUUAUGUUUUGUUUGUAGUAAACGUUUGGGUUAAGGGGAUUUACAUGUUCCCAGAGACAAGGUAUCUUAAAGGGGCACACUCAUAUAUGGAAUAUUCAGAGUUUUAUUUUCUGAGUUUUAAUUAGACAAGGAAAUUUUUAAUUUUUAAAGAUAAGGGGUUCUUUAAUAGGUCUAGACAUGGUAUGGAACACGAAUGUAAGGGGGUGUUGUAACCUUUGACCUGCAUCAUGGCUGUCUCUUGAAGUCUGAUCAGCUUCGGGGGAGGGCCAUGUAGAUAAUGCAUUUGUGGUCAUUUGGUAUACUGGUUUUGAGGUAAAUUAAUAUGUAAGGACUCUAGAAAUUGCCACCAUAGACAUGUUUUUCUAAAAAUCCAUGAGUUUAGAUGAAGCCAAACAGUGAGACAUUUAGUUAAAAUUUGGAAACAAAACAGUUGUUACAGACAGAUAAGGGAAAGGGCAGACAGACAGGCCCUCCCUACACUGCUGAGACCUUGAAGGUUUGAGAGCAGAGAGGGGAGUUUCGGAAGGGGCGCCAGGACAUGGAUAACAGAAUGGGUAGAUAACAGUUACUGAAAGGAGACAUGAAAGGGGCGCUCCUACAAUGAUAAUGUAGAACAUAAGAAUAUUUUACUAUUCUUACCUAAGUCAUUAUUUAGAAUAGGUAAGGUUGUUACCUGGCUAGAGCCAGGUAUCAAGAGGGGGAUGGGUACAUUGUGGUCUAGGAUAGGAUGGGGCCUAUUGGAUAAUAAACGAAUUAUUAAAAAUAAUAAUAAUAAUAAUUAAAAAAUAAAUAAUAAUAAUAAUUAAAAAAUAAAUAAUAAUAAUAAUUAUAGCUAACAAAUAGGUAUAGAAGUUAAAUAUACAAUCAGAUAAAACAAAUGAGAAACUGGUGGUUAACCGAACCUGUAUGUCCAGGAUUUUAUGCGUUACAGAUGAAUUAAAGGAGAAGGUGAUUCACUUGACCUGGGGGCAUAUCGCACUUGGAGGGUGAGACACACUGGCACUGCCGAAUGAUCACAGAGUUAAGGAGAAGAACUGUUGCUAAUAAAGCUCAGGGGUCAACUCCUUAAUGAAGAAUUCCCUGACCCCGACCUGUCAUCACUGUGAACUUUCAUAGAAGUGAAAGUGUUGCUUGAUCUCUGGCUGAUGAUGUGUUCUCUGGGAGAGGAUGGGGUUUUUCAGGACUGCUUGUGGUCCUGAGCUGUCUGAUUAGGAUACGAUGGGGAUGUUACCAUCACAGUACUGCCAGAACAACCACCAGUUCCAACGGACCAGGGUUCAGCCGGCCUCCUCCACCACUUCAAGACCAACUCCCACACCACCACCUAAGCUCUCCAAUCUGGUACAGGUAAUAAAUGUAAAAGACAUCUCAGAUAGUGACCAAUUGGGGACUUAAACUGAAUAUGAGGAAAGGGAGAAUAUGUGGUUGGCCUACAAAACAAUAAAUAGAAAGGACUGUGUCGUAUGUGGACAUGCCAGACCUAUUCUGGCUGCUCACCCAUUUGCCCUAAGUAAUGGGGAAGGUUGGAUGUGUACAUUGGAAAGCUACUUGGUCCGAGGGUACAGAUAACAUCCACACCAACCUCUUGGGGGUCCUAAUAGGGGUCCCCCCACGAAUUCCAGGCAUUAAACAGAAAUGAUGGUCUGUGGCAUCUGAUGCCCACCAUUCUUGGUCCAGCUAUUGUUGAUACUAAACAAAAUGCCUGGAUCAAUUAUAUCUACUAUAAUCAACAAUGAUUUGUCAACUACACCCACACUGCACUUAGGGGGAUGGCUGAACAAUUGGAUGCCACCUCUCGAACUGCUAGACAGAAUAGGCUAGCACUAGACAUGAUACUGGCCAACCAGGGAGGUGUAUGUAAAAUGAUUGGAGAACAGUAUUGCAAGUUUGUCCCUAACAAUACUAGUCCGGAUGGGAGCAUUUAAAAAAAAAACUCUGAGUGGGUUGGUGAGGUUAUCGGUGGAGAUGGAGGGUCUUGCAGGUGUGGAGGAGAGUGGACUGUUCCCCUGGCUGGGUGGUUGGUUUGGUAAGUACACUACAAUGAUGAAUACUGGAUUUCGGUGUCCCUAGUUGUUGUUUUUCUUAUGCUCAUGUGCUGUGUUGCCUGUAUCAUACCUUGUUUGAAGAAGUCUGUUACAGAUGUGGCAAGGACCUCUGGUAUGAUGCCGUUGCUUGAUGCUCCAGUUGGAGAGGCUGAUACGGAAUCAAGCUUUCGCAGGAGAGAGGGCCUGACAGAGGAGGACCCUUGGUUUGCUGCAAUUGAUGUUGUCGAAUGAAUAAAAAGUGAUGUUUGUCCUCCCUGUUGUGAAGGUUUGAAGUUCCCGGGUGGCGACGAGCCCACCUGGUACAGGUUGUAUAGAGGGAUGGACCUGAGGGUUUAACAUUCAUUUUCUCGUUUUUUGGUUAAUAAUGUGGGAUUUUGGACUCAACAAGGCUUCGAGGCGGUCCAUGGCCAAUUGGCCGCUACAUCCCUGAUGGCAUUUCAGAAUAGAAUCGCAGUAGAUAUGUUGUUGGCUGAGCGCGGAGGUGUUUGUGCCAUGUUUGGGGAGCAAUGUUGUACUUUCAUUCCCAAAAAUACAGCGAAUGAUGGAAGUCUUACCGCCGCCCUAGAGGGUCUUCGCACGCUUAAUGGGAAGAUGAAACAGCACUCCGGAGUGGACACUACUAUGUGGGAUUCUUGGAUGGAUGCUUUUGGCAAUUAUAAAAUGCUUGUUUCCUCUAUCCUUGUCUCAAUUUCUGUUUUUGCCGCGAUACUUGUGCUUUGUGGUUGCUGUUGCAUUCCAUGUGCUCGCACUCUGAUACCCUAUCUGCUAUAGACCCAAAGCAGACCGAUAGGGGUCAGAUGUACCCACUCCUUGCUAUUGAGGAAGCUGAGCCUGGGUAUCAAUUUGAUGACUAGUGAUGGCUAGAGGAUUUACUAUUGUCACGUCUCUGGUGAGACGUGAAGAGGGGGAAUAAAAAUUAAAAAAAAAAAAUGUUUGCUGACAAAUUUUACUGUGGUCACGUCUUUUAAGACGUGAAGAGGGGGAUUUGUUAGCUAUAAUAUUGUUAUAAUGCCUUCAUUAUUAAAGCAGACGUGGUUGUAACACUUUGCUGCACCCCACAGAUGAACCAGUUCUGCCUGUGCCAGAUACUAACCUUACUCCCACACACACACAGAGAGAGAUGGCUGACACAAACCAUUUAUGAGCUCUGACCUCAGGGGGGCGCUCUGACCUCAGGCGCCAGUUGCUGGUGUCUGCUUCAACAUCUUGUCAAUACAAGAGACAACCCAGACCGGCAUGGCACUCAACGAGCAUGCGCAUGCAUACACACACACACACACACACACACAAACCCCUGUUUCAGGCGGGAGUUCCAAGGACAAAGAACACUACUGAGAACCAAUGGAACAUUGAUAUUAGCCUGAAGGGGACCGCCCUCCACUCACAGCGACCAGUCAGGAGAGCAGAACUACUAGAAUCUACCUACGUCAUUUCACUGUAUAAAAUGUAUUGCACAAUAUGAGUCGGGGCUCCUCCUGCUAGCUCCCUCUGAGCUAAAUGGACGAGCCCGUGCACGUGUUGUCAGAUAUCUUUGCAACUUAUUAAACUGCCUUAAAUAUCAUACCUUAUCCACCUGGUCUAGCGUCUCAACUUGGUCUCUCUCUUCUAGUAAAUAUCAUCAAUCUUUAACACUUCUCCAUUGAUGUUAUUUUAAAAUUUUCGCAGAUUUUUCUUACGGAUGUACAAUCGUCGCGAAUUGAAUUAUGGGGAGUUUCAGGCCCCUGAGUGAUAAUUGUAUACUCGCAAAGCCGACUAAAAACGAGGGAUGAGGGGCUUCUGUUGCAAACUUCCCUUGCUUGGCUAAUCAUUUUGAACACCCUCCAACAUGGCGACGGUUUUCCCCCAAGGGCAUAAGGUGAGGGUAAGUGGACGAGGGUGUGUCUUUUUAAGUGUUUGGACUGCAUCCAAUGUGUUGCAAGCAGUCGUUUUCCCACUCUAACGCAAGUAACGUUAGCUAGCUUGUGUUGUAGUAGUGUAACAAUGAGUACGGUUACAUGUAACAGUUUUACUUUAGUCCGUCCCCUCGCCCCGACCCGGGCGCGAGCCAGGGACCCACGAAGCAUCGUUACCCAUCGCUCCACAAAAGCCGCGGCCCUUGCAGAGCAAGGGGAACCACUACUUCAAGGUCUCAGAGCAAGUGAAGUCACCGAUUGAAAGGCUAGUUAGCGCGCACCACCGCUAACUAGCUAGCCAUUUCACAUCCAUUACACACACAAUAAUGCGAUUUAUUGUGGAUAGUCAGAUUAAUAUAAUAGUUUGAUGAAAACGUUGACAUGCUUUGCAAUAAGAAUGAUUCCCCUAAUAUUCCUGGACACAUCUACAAUUGGGCUACCUGAUGGCACUGAUAAAUGCAGAAAAUCUGCAAUAAAAAAUAAACAUUCUACCACAGCGAACAUGGUAUUUUUGGGAAGCAUAUUUUUUUCUCCAUUCGGACAUACAGUACCAGUCAAAGGUUUGGACACUUACUCAUUCAAGGGUUUUUCUUUAUUUUUACUAUUUUCUACAUUUUUGAAUAAUGGUGAAGACAUCAAAACUAUGAAAUAACACACAUAAUCAUGUAGUAACCAAAAAAGUGUUAAACAAAUCAAAAUAUAUAUAUUUGAGAUUCUUCAAAGUACCCACCCUUUGCCUUGAUGACAGCUGUGCACAUUCUUGGCAUUCUCUCAACCAGCUUCAUGAGGUAGUCACCUGGAAUGCAUUUCAAUUAACAGGUGUGCCUUGUGGAAUUUCACAAUCACAUUUGUGGAAUUUCUUUCCUUCAUGCAUUUGAGCCAAUCAGUUGUGUUGUGACAAGGUAUGGGUGGUGUAUAGAAGACAGCCCUAUUUGGUAAAAAUACCAAGUCCAUAUUAUGGCAAGAACAACUCAAAUAAGCAUAGAGAAACGACAGUACCUCAUUACUUUAAGACAUGGUCAUUCAAUCCAGAAAAUUUCAAGGACUUCGAAAGUUUCUUCAAGUGCAGUUGCAAAAACCAUCAAGCGCUAUGAUGAAACUGGCUCUCAUGAGGACCGCCACAGGAAUGGAAGACCCAGAGUUACCUCUGCUGCAGAGGAUAAGUUCAUUAGUUACCAGCCUCAGAAAUUGCAGCCCAAAUAAAUGCUUCACAGAGUUCAAGUAAUAGACAUCUAUACAUCAAUUGUUCAGAGGUGACUGCGUGAAUCAGGCUUUCAUGGUCGACUUGCUGCCAAAAAAAAACCACUACUAAAGGACACCAAUAAGAAAAAGAGACUUACUUGGGUCAAGAAACACGAGCGAUAGACAUUAAACUGUUAGAAAACUGUCCAUUUGUCUGAUAAAUACAAAUUUGAGAUUUUUGGUUUCAACUGGCGUGUCUUUGUGAGACACAGAGUAGGUGAACGGAUGAUCUCUGCAUGUGUGGUUCCCACUGUGAAGCAUGGAGGAGGAGGUGUGAUGGUGCUUUGCUGGUGACACUGUCAGUGAUUUAUUUAGAAAUCAAGGCACACUUAACCAGCAUGGCUACCACAGAAUUCUGCAGCAAUACACCAUCCCAUCUGGUUUGCGCUUAGUCCCACAGUCAUUUGUUUUUCAACAGGACAGUGACCCAAAACACCUCCAGACUGUGUAAGGGCUAUUUGACCAAGAAGGAGAGGGAUGGAGUGCUGCAUCAGAUGACCUGGCCUCCACAAUCACCCGACCUCAACCCAAUUGAGAUGGUUUGGGAUGAGUCGGACCGCCGAGUGAAGGAAAAACAGCCAACAAGUGCUCAGCAUUAGUGGGAACAUGCCUCAUGAAGCUGGUUGAGGGACUGCCAAGAGUGUGCAAAGGGUGGCUACUUUGAAGAAUCUCAAAUAUAAACUAUUGUUUGAUUUGUUUAACUUUUUUGGUUACUACAUGAUUCCAUAUGUGUUAUUUCAUAGUUUUGAUGUCUUCACUGUUAUUCUACAAUGAGUAGGUGUGUCCCAACUUUUGGCUAGUUCUGUAUAAAGUUGGUAUGUGAAAACUACUACUACACAUACAUUCUGUUGUUGCAGACUCACUUCACUCGCACUGAAGAGGGAGGCUCGCUCGGCUGUUGCUAGCACAUACGCAGAACAAAUACACCAGUGGAAUGCCGAUUUAAGGUGUUUACAUGUCUUAAUAAUUUGAAAGAUUGUUCAGAAAACCAGGUGUUUUAAUCAGCAUAUGCUUACUUUGAUUUUGACCUUAUGAAGAUAAACAGAGUAAGGUGUUUACGUUACUAUUGCAUAAUCUGCCUACUGCCAUAAUCCGUUUUAAUACCGAAUUAUUAGUGUGCAUGGAAAUUUACUCAAUGGCAAGGCGGCUGCAGCAGCUGUUAUCAACUUCAAGGUGGAUGUAGUUGCUAAUUUGUUAGCGUCAACCUUUUCAAGAUUAAUUUUCAAACUUGGUUUACUAAUGAUCAUCAUCUGGUGAGUAGCACUGUUUUUUUGUUGCAGCUCUCUUGCGGUUAUAUACAUAAUAUGGCCAAAAGUAUGUGGACGACUGCUCCUCAAACAUCUCAUUCCAAAAUCAUGGGCAUUAAUAUGAAGUUGGUCCCCCCCUUGCUGCUAUAAUAUCCCCCACUUUUCUGGGAAGACUUUCCUCUAGAUGUUGGAACAUUGCUGUGGGGACUUGCUUCCAUUCAGCCACAAGAGCAUUAGGGAGGUUGGGCGAUUAGGCUUGGCUUGCAGUCUGCGUUUCAAUUCAUCCCAAAGGUGUUCGAUGGGGUUGAGAUCAGGACUGUGUGCAGGCCAGUCUAUAUGGACCUCGCUUUGUGCAGGGGGCAUUGUCAUGCUGAAUCAGGAAAGGGCCUUCCCAAAACUGUUGCCACAAAGUUGGAAACACAGAGUCAUCUAGAAUGUCAUUAUAUGCUGUAGCGUUAAGAUUUCCCUUCACUGGAACUAAGGGGUGUAGCCUGAACCAUGAAAAACAGCCCCAGACCAUUACUCCUGCUCCACUAAAGUUUACAGUUGGCACUAUGCAUUGGGGCAGGUAGCGUUCUCCUGGCAUCUGCCGAACCCAGAUUCAGCCUUCGGACUCCCAGAUGGUGAAAUGAGGUUUUCCUGUGUCUACCCUUCUCAAUGGCAAGGCUAGGCUCACUGAGCCUGUACUUUGUCAAGGUUUUUCUAAGGUUUUGAUCAGUAACCAUGGUCAAAUAGUUAGCCACUGUGUACUGUCGAUUUAGGGCCAGAUAGCACUGCAUUUUGCUUUGCGCUUGUGUUUCCCAAUAAGCAAUGUAGUUUUGUUUUGACUGUGUUGUAAUUUGUUUUAUUCUGAUUGUUUGGAUAUUUUGGUCCUGAGUGUGUUAGUAGAACAGGUUUGUGAACUUAGCCCCAGGACCAGCUGGAUGAGGGGACUCUUUUCUUUGCUCAGCUCUUGGCAUUGCAGUGCUUGGUAAUGAUAUGAGAGUGGGUCACUGUAUUUUCGAUGUUUCCAAAACUUAAUUGCUCUUUUUUGAGUUAUUAUUAGUGGAUAUUGGCCUAAUUCUGCCCUGCAUGCAUUGUUUGUAGAUUUCCUCUGGACAUGUAGGAUAAUCUUACAGAACUCUGCAUGCUGGGAUUCAAUGGGGGUGUUUGUCCCAUUUGGGGAAUUCUUGUUUUGUAAGUCGACCUCACACCUCGCCUCUUUUACGCUACUGAUAUUCUCUGUUCAUCAUAUGCAUAGUCACUUUAACCAUAUCUACAUGUACAUACUACCUCAAUCAGCCCGACUAACCUGUGUCUGUAUGUAGCCUCGCUACUGUAUAUAGCCUCGCUACUGUUAUUUUUCACUGUCUUUCUACUGUUGUUUUUAUUUCUUUACUUACCUAUUGAUCACCUAAUACCUUUUUUUGCACUAUUGAUUAGAGCCUGUAAGUAAGCAUUUCACUGUAAGGUCUACAACUGUUGUAUUCGGCGCACGUGACAAAUAAACUUUGAUUUGAAAUGCUUUUUGGAAGUUGAUAAAGCAAACGUAUUAUUUUGGUGGACAUGUUGAUCUAUCACGGUGUGUUGGGUGUAAAUAUGAUCAGUCGUGCGAUGUUUUGGUAUAAAUCCAAUUUGGCUUUUACUCAAUACAUUGUGCUUAUUAAGGAAGUUUAGAACUCUUACAUUUACAGAAAACCUUCCCCAGGUUACUGUUCACACAAAUGCCUCUGUAAUUGUUAGGGUCAAAUUUGUCUCCGUUCUUAAAGAUUUGGGUUAUGAGUCCUUGAUUCCAGAUGUCAGGGAAAUAACUUACACUCAGGAUCAAAUUAAACAGUUUUAAUAUAGCCAAUUGAAAUUUUGCACUAGUGAGUUUGAGCAUCUCAUUUAGGAUGGCAUCAGGUCCGUAUGCUUUUUUUUAAAUUUGAGGGCCUGAAGUUUCUUACAGUGCUCCUUGUCAGUAAUUGAGGAGUCUAAUGGAUUUUGAUUGUCUUUUUAUAGCUUUUUCUAAUCUAUUCAACUCCUCAUGAAUUUGGCAUUUUUGUCACGGCCGUCAACAGAAGUAGACCAAAGCAUAGCGUUGUGAGUGUACAUAUUCCUUUUUAUUAGGAUGAUGAUGAUGACGCCGACAAAAACAAUAAACAAUACAAACACGAAUGUGAAGCUUAAGGCUAAAGUCCCACAAACAAAGACAACUUCCCACAAAAAAAAGGAGGGAAAAGGGCUACCUAAGUAUGGUUCCCAAUCAGAGACAACGAUAGACAGCUGUCCCUGAUUGAGAACCAUACCUGGCCAAAACAUAGAAAUACAAAAUCAUAGAAAAACAAAACAUAGAAUGCCCACCCCAAAUCACACCCUGACCAAACCAAAUAGAGACAUAAAACGGCUCUCUAAGGUCAGGGCGUGACAAUCUUUCUGCGUUUUUGUUUUAAAAUGGGUUGUCCAUAUGUCACCAUUUUGUAUCGCUAAUUCUUGUUUAGAUUAUUAUUAUUUUUUUACAAAUUUUGCCAGAGGUUGUUUGUGUUUAUGGACUCCUCAAUUAGUGUCAGCUGCUUGCUGUUGUACUGUGCUCGUUUGGUUCUGAGUGUACAUUUUUAUAGAGCUUUAAAGUCUCACAGUAAUGAAAGCGUAAUUCACCAUUAUUUGGGUCUCUGCGCUUUUGGUUGGAUAGUGUUCUAAGCUUUUUCCUUAUAAUUGUACAAUCUGCAUCAAACCAGUUGUCAUCUGUGGUCUUUAAAAAAAAAUCAGUUGUGCUUCUUUUGCCGUUUGCCUGAAUAUGUAGUUGAUGUUUUUUACUGCUAGAUUGAUGCCUUCUUUACUGUGAGUGAAUGUGCUAUCCAGAAAGUUAUCUAAGAGUGUUUGGAUAUUUUGGUUACAGGUAGCUUUCUGCUAUUCUUCUGUGCUGUUUUGGGCCCAUCUGUAUGAAUUUCUGAUGUUCUACAGCUUACUGGGCUGUGAAUGUGUAGUUGUUUCCAUGUCUGGUCUUUUGAGGAGCAAUGUAAUUUGGCUGUGAUCAGACAGAGGUGUUAGUGGCUUGACAGUGAAUGAGCUGAGAGCGAAAGGAUCAAUGUCUGUAAUCAUAUAGUCUACUGUGCUGUGGCCUAGAGGUGAGCAAUAGGUGAAUCUCCCCAAAGAGUCCCCCGUAACCUACCAUUGACAAAGUACAGACCCAGGCUUCGACAGAGCUGAAACAUUUCCCUUCUGUUUUUGUUGAUGGAGCUGUCACUGUUGUUUCUAUGGGGGAGAUUAAGACAGUUAGAAACAGUAUGGCCUGUAAUAAAGCUGUCCCCUCUUGUGGUCGUUAGAUCAGGUAGUGUUCCUGUGCGCGCAAUUGUGUCCCCACAGAUGAGCACAUUUCCCUGGGCCUGGAAAUGGCACAUCUCUUCCUCAAGGGUGGGGAAGAUCUCUGACUAAUAUCGGGAUUCUCUGAGUAAUAUGGGCAUCUUUUUCUGUCAGUACAAGUAAUUUUUUCAGUUUUAACCAAAUGUGAUAUUUACUAAUUUUGAGGGGAUCAACUAGAUUUUGUAGUUUGGAUUUGUACCAAAUGAUCAAUCCUCCAGAGUCUCUGCCUCUAUUGACAGAGCUGUGUUUCUGUGAUGGCACAAUGACCUCUCUGUAGCCUGUGGGACAGUGAGUGACAAUGUCAGCCUUACACCAUGUCUCCUGCAGAAUGAUGACGUCAACAUCUUUAAGAUUUUUGUUGAACUCCAGUGCUAAACUCUUCAGUCCAAAGGUUGAUGAGUUUAGGCCCUGAAUGUUCCACAUGCUAACUAAUAGUGAUUUCACGUUGCAAAAAGAAAGAAUAACAGUCAGAAAUACAGUAACUACUAAGUUGUUAAGAUUGAGAUAAACAGGAUAACAGCCAACAUUUUUUCUGUUUCAUUGAACAAGUAAACUUUUAUUACGAUGUGUGUGUGUGUGCGUGUGCGUGUGCGUGUGUGUGUGUGUGUGUUUAGUACAGAUGUAUUGGAGGAGCUGUUUAAUCUAACUCAAUCCUACAGGGUUCUCCUGUCCACUGACGACGGUGGUGAUGUGGGAGUUGGGGAACCACUCAGAGGCCGUCUCUGCUACUCUGUUGACCAGGCUGCCUACUCUCUUCUGUCUCUCUCGCUCUCUGUCUUUGUCGUUCUCUCUACCUCUGUUUCUCUCUUGUGUGUCUCUGUCUUUAUCUCCCUCCGUCUUUGUCGCUCUCGCUGUCUCAGCAAGUGAAAUUAGGAGGCAGCAGAUUGCACAGAACAAAGUAGCAAGGAUUGUUUUAAGGUGGAUAUAUGGUUAUUAUGUUGUAGUCAUGCACAAUGCUCUUGGUUGGUCAUCAAUCAAAAAGAUAAUUGAAAAAAACAUGCUUAUUUUAUUUCACGGUGUCCACCAUUUAAAACAGUCAAACUCCAUUCACAACAAUAUUCAGUUGGUAAGAGACCAGAUAUUCAGUCAAUACUAGGAAUGGAUUGUCCACCAUCUAUGUGUUAUCCAGACAGAAUAGAAAAUAGGCAAAAUAACAUUUCGCUUCAGAGCAAUAAAGACAUUGAGUAAUUUAUCUGAGCAAACCAGAAACCUUUCAAUAUAUGCAUUCAAACAGUACUUUAGAACCUUUUAAAUAUAGUACAUUGGAAGGUUGUGCAGGACUAUGGUAGAUGAAGGAACCAAUCUAUCUUUUUAGACUGUUAGAGUAUUUAUCUGGUCAAUAUGUCAGUGUAUUAUGUCUGUUUGUAACAGUGUUAUAUCUGAAAAUGUGAUCGUAUUAUAAAUUGUAUUUUAAUGUUUAAGGACUCUUGGAAGAUUAGUCCAAAUGAGGACCAAAAGAGAUCCUAAUAAAAUCAAAUAUGACGCAGUCUGUCAGUCUCUCUCUCCUCUCUUUCUGUUGACUCUCUCUGUUGUCUCUGUGUGGUCAGUUCAGUUGGACGACCUACCUACCUCCACCAUGGUGUAGGGGAACUGUAACCGCAUUCUGCUGUGCACCAAGAAGAGAAGGAUAGAGGACACCAUCGAUUAUGUUGCUACCCGCCCCAUGUACUACUAUCCCUCUAGAACGUUGCUGUUUUAUAACAUAUCCAUUUGCUGGCUAUGGAAAUAUCAAAGCCAAUUACUGAACAUAAGAAAACAAUAUUUUUGACUAAUAACAAAUAUUGCUUAUAAAUCAGUGAUGUAUGGUGGCCGAGUGAUGGCAAGCCCUGUCAAGUUCAUGGAUGCUUGAAUGAAUAAAUAAGGGUUAGAGCUAAAUCACAUAGGGUAAAGGGAACAAGCACUGACCAGAAAUUAGUAGGCAAGGUUUUGUUUUAAUAUAUAUAUUUUUUUAACUUUAUCUGACCAAAACAAUCCUCAAUCAUCUUCCUUGCAGUAUUCACUCCUGGAAUGGAAGAUUUCCCAUCUCCUUCUCCCACUGCUGGGAGAUCCUUAUUUGGAUGCAUCUGGCAAAUUAUGGAAGAGUGGAGGGAAAGCUGCCCUCCAGUGUCCUGUAUGGAGAGGUGCAUUCUAGUUCUACUGGACCUGCUUUUAAACCAUGUGUGUAUGUGUUUCCCACUUCUCAUAACCAUUGAAAAGGCUGGGGUAAAAAUGACACACCACCUGCAUUGACUUCUAGAACAGGACAGCCUAGAAGAAGGGAAAUGGGGGUGGAGAGGAGGAAGAGAGCAGUGAGGACGAGGAGGAAGCUGACGAUGAGGAGGAGGAUGGCGCUGGAGACAUGGAUGAGGUGGAGGAGCUGAUGGAACAUCAUGCAGUGUCUGGCCCAGACUGCCUCCUGUCAGAACUACUUCCUUAUGACCGUCUGUUAUCAUAUGUGUACAGUGUUUGAUCCAUAAUGAAUUUGGAGGAGGUGCGUGGGCACAGCUCCCUGAUUUCCUGCACAAAUCCAUCCAUCCUUUUAUCAUGUCUGUUCUGUUUCCUCUCAGCCUACAUCGCUGCCGUUGACCACGGCAUGCGAGAGAAGAAAAGACGUAACGCCCCAAGAAUCACACCCAUUAAGAGGCGGGGGGGCAGGGCAGGCUUCCGAGCAAGCAGCAGGAGACUCCAGCGCUCUUCCCGGAGUAUGUGUCCAACAUCCUGACCCAGCACUUCUUCAGCAUCACCCAGAAGAUCCAGAAGAAGCCAGGGGCACACCAACACUCGGACAUCCUUUACAAAUGAAGCAUUUGUGUUUAGUGAGUCCGUCAAAUCAGAGGCAGUGGGGAUGACCAUUGUUGUUCUCUUGGUGUGUGAAUUAGACCAUUUUCUGUCCUGCUAAGCAUUUAAAAUAUAACGAGUACUUUUUGGUGUCAGGGAAAAUGUAUGGAGUAAAAAGUACAUUAUUUUCUUUAGGAAUGCAGUAAAGUCAAAUGAAAUGUUGUCAAAAAUAUAAUAGUAAAGUAAAUUACAGAUACCCCAAAAAACUACUUAAGAAGUACUUUAAAGUAUUUUUACUUAAGUACUUUACGCUACUGGUGACAGGCCAGCCCUCAGAGAUGUUCAGAGAUGCCUAGCCCUCAGAGAUGUUCCCCGUCCUGCCCGGUAGAGCCCUGCACGGGCAUGAAUUUAAAGCCCAACCCAUGCCCGUGACAUUCAGGCCCUACCCUACCCAGGCCUGAUUGCUUCUGCCAAAUUUAAAGCCCGGCUCUGCCCGAAAUCAAAAAUAACUUCCUCUGUUAGUAAAUCCAUUAGCUGCUAUUCUCUGUCAGUCACUGACUCCCUGCACCCAGGCAGCUCGCUGUCUCUUUCUUUUAAUGAGGUUGAAGCACUUCUGACACCAUGUUAUGAUCUUAGUCAGAUAUGACUGUACUACACAGCAGAGCACGAGCAAAUUAGCAUGGCUGACGUGUGACCCACAUGACUACUGACUCACUGAGGCUGGUGUUAACAAGACUACGAGCAAAUGGCUCAGCUUCAAAAUGUUGGUAAUACACUUUGUGAUACCUGAGCCCUGCCCGUAGCCUAGUUAUUUAUGAAAAAACAGGUCCUAGCCAGCCCUAACUUGAUGUAUAAUGUCGGGGCCAGUCGGUGUCGGGUAGCAGAGCUCUACUGCCCGGCUCCCACCUGCCACUCAGAAACCCAGCCCUGGAGUUCAUCAUUCUCAUUCUCAUUCUCCCACUGCCAGGUCAGUGACUGGGAACACGGGUCGCACCGCAAUGUCAAAGUUUUGCAAUGAAAAUUUGUGUUUGUUAUUGGACAAGUUCAGGUAGUCCCGGCCCGUUUGCUUCCAUUAUGUGCCUAGUGAAUACACCCCAGGAUCAUAUACAUUAGUGCACACUAUUUCAAAGUGUUCCGUAAUGCAAAAUGAAAAUUAGCAUUUCAGUUCUGUUUUCUUCUGUUUCAUGCCUCAUGAACACAACCCUCCC